UACGGGGGGGGGCAAGCGUUGUUCGGGAAUUACUGGGCGUAAAGGGCGCGUAGGCGGUUUGCUAAGUUGAAUGUGAAAACUCUGGGCUUAACCCAGAGCCCUGCAUUCAAUACUGGCAGGCUGGAGUUCUGGAGGGGAUAGCGGAAUUCCUGGUGUAGCGGUGAAAUGCGUAGAUAUCAGGAGGAACGCCGGUGGCGAAGGCGGACUAUCUGGACAGAAACUGACGUGAGGCGCGAAAGCUAGGGGAGCAA
rnacentral:rRNA from 1 species